rnacentral:rRNA from 1 species
CUGGCUCAGGACGAACGCUGGCGGCGUGCCUAAUACAUGCAAGUCGAGCGGAUGAUAAAGGAGCUUGCUCCUUUAGAUUCAGCGGCGGACGGGUGAGUAACACGUGGGCAACCUGCCUGUAAGACUGGGAUAACUUCGGGAAACCGGAGCUAAUACCGGAUAACUCUUCGAACCUCAUGGUUCGAAGAUAAAAGAUGGUUUCGGCUAUCACUUACAGAUGGGCCCGCGGCGCAUUAGCUAGUUGGUGAGGUAACGGCUCACCAAGGCGACGAUGCG